GAUGAACGCUGGCGGCGUGCCUAAUACAUGCAAGUCGAGCGAACGGACGAGAAGCUUGCUUCUCUGAUGUUAGCGGCGGACGGGUGAGUAACACGUGGAUCACCUACCUAUAAUACUGGGAUAACUUCGGGAAACCGUAGCUAAUACCGGAUAAUAUUUUGAACCGCAUGGUUCAAAAGUGAAAGACGGUCUUGCUGUCACUUAUAGCUGGUUCCGCGCUGCAUUAGCUAGUUGGUAAGGUAACGGCUUACCAAGGCAACGAUGCAUAGCCGACCUGAGAGGGUGAUCGGCCACACUGGAACUGAGACACGGUCCAGACUCCUACGGGAGGCAGCAGUAGGGAAUCUUCCGCAAUGGGCGAAAGCCUGACGGAGCAACGCCGCGUGAGUGAUGAAGGUCUUCGGAUCGUAAAACUCUGUUAUUAGGGAAGAACAUAUGUGUAAGUAACUGUGCACAUCUUGACGGUACCUAAUCAGAAAGCCACGGCUAACUACGUG
rnacentral:rRNA from 1 species